rnacentral:rRNA from 1 species
GGGAAGCGAGAUCGAGAGAUGGAGCAAAUCCCAAAAAUAACGUCCCAGUUCGGACUGUAGUCUGCAACCCGACUACACGAAGCUGGAUUCGCUAGUAAUCGCGCAUCAGCCAUGGCGCGGUGAAUACGUUCCCGGGCCUUGUACACACCGCCCGUCAAGCCAUGGGAGUCGGGAGUGCCUGAAGUUCGUGACCGUCACAGGAGCGACCUAAGGCAAGACCGAUGACUGGGGCUAAGUCGUAACAAGGUAAC